rnacentral:rRNA from 1 species
GAUGAACGCUAGCGGCAGGCUUAACACAUGCAAGUCGAGGGGCAGCAUGAAAGUUUGCUUGCAAACUUUUGAUGGCGACCGGCGCACGGGUGAGUAACACGUAUCCAACCUGCCUCAUACUCGGGGAUAGCCUUUCGAAAGAAAGAUUAAUACCCGAUGUCAUAGUCCUACCGCAUGAUGGGAUUAUUAAAGAAUUUCGGUAUGGGAUGGGGAUGCGUUCCAUUAGUUAGUUGGCGGGGUAACGGCCCACCAAGACAACGAUGGAUAGGGGUUCUGAGAGGAAGGUCCCCCACAUUGGAACUGAGACACGGUCCAA